UUGUGCCAGCAGCCGCGGUAAUUCCAGCUCCAAUAGCGUAUAUUAAAGUUGUUGCAGUUAAAAAGCUCGUAGUUGAAACUUGGGCCUGGCUGGCAGGUCCGCCUCACCGCGUGUACUUGUCCGGCCGGGCCUUUCCUUCUGGAGAACCUCAUGCCCUUCACUGGGUGUGUUGGGGAACCAGGACUUUUACUUUGAAAAAAUUAGAGUGUUCAAAGCAGGCCUUUGCUCGAAUACGUUAGCAUGGAAUAAUAGAAUAGGACGUGCGGUCCUAUUUUGUUGGUUUCUAGGACCGCCGUAAUGAUUAAUAGGGACAGUCGGGGGCAUCAGUAUUCAAUUGUCAGAGGUGAAAUUCUUGGAUUUAUUGAAGACUAACUACUGCGAAAGCAUUUUGCCAAGGAUGUUUUCAUUAAUCAGUGAACGAAAGUUAGGGGAUCGAAGACGAUCAGAUACCGUCGUAGUCUUAACCGUAAACUAUGCCGACUAGGGAUCGGGCGAUGUUCUUUUUCUGACUCGCUCGGCACCUUACGAGAAAUCAAAGUUUUUGGGUUCUGGGGGGAGUAUGGUCGCAAGGCUGAAACUUAAAGAAAUUGACGGAAGGGCACCACCAGGCGUGGAGCCUGCGCUUAAUUUGACUCAACACGGGGAAACUCACCAGGUCCAGAUGAAAUAAGGAUUGGCAGAUUGAGAGCUCUUUCUUGAUUUUCAGGUGGUGGUGCAUGGCCGUUCUAGGUGGUGGAGUGAUUUGUCUGCUACUGCGAUAACGAACGAGACUUAACCUGCUAAAUAGCCAGGCUAGCUUUGGCUGUCGCGGCUCUAGAGGACUAUCGGCUCAGCCGAUGAAGUUUGAGGCAUAACAG
rnacentral:rRNA from 1 species